rnacentral:rRNA from 1 species
AGCAGCCGCGGUAAUUCCAGCUCCAAUAGCGUAUAUUAAAGUUGUUGCAGUUAAAAAGCUCGUAGUUGAAUUUUGGGUCUGGCCGGGCGGUCCGCCCUCCGGGUGAGCACUGUUCCGACGCCGGGCCUAUCCUUCUGGUGAGUCGGCAUGUCCUUUACUGGGUGUGUCGGGGAACCAGGACCAUUACCUUGAAAAAUUAGAGUGUUCAAAGCAGGCGUAUGCUCGGAUACAUUAGCAUGGAAUAAUGAAAUAGGACGCGUGGUGCUAUUUUGUUGGUUUCUAGAACCACCGUAAUGAUUAAUAGGGAUAGUUGGGGGCAUUAGUAUUCAAUUGUCAGAGGUGAAAUUCUUGGAUUUAUUGAAGACUAACUUCUGCGAAAGCAUUUGCCAAGGAUGUUUUCAUUAAUCAAGAACGAAAGUUAGGGGAUCGAAGACGAUCAGAUACCGUCGUAGUCUUAACCAUAAACUAUGCCGACUAGGAAUCGGGCGAUGUUAUUCUCAUGACUCGCCCGGCGCCUU